AGCGAACGCUGGCGGCAGGCCUAACACAUGCAAGUCGAACGAACCUUUCGGGGUUAGUGGCGGACGGGUGAUUAACACGUGGGAACGUGCCUUUAGGUUCGGAAUAACUCAGGGAAACUUGUGCUAAUACCGAAUGUGCCCUUCGGGGGAAAGAUUACUCGCCUUUAGAGCGGCCCGCGUCUGAUUAGCUAGUUGGUUGAGGUAAUGGCUCACCAAGGCGACGAUCAGUAGCUGGUCUGAGAGGAUGAUCAGCCACAUUGGGACUGAGACACGGCCCAAACUCCUACGGGAGGCAGCAGUGGGGAAUCUUGCGCAAUGGGCGAAAGCCUGACGCAGCCAUGCCGCGUGAAUGAUGAAGGUCUUAGGAUUGUAAAAUUCUUUCACCGGGGACGAUAAUGACGGUACCCGGAGAAGAAGCCCCGGCUAACUUCGUG
rnacentral:rRNA from 1 species